rnacentral:lncRNA from 1 species
UUCCAACCCACACCUGCAGGAGUCAGACCACUCCUGGUCCCCUCCUGCAGCGUCCUUUCUCCCUCUCGGCAGUUCCCCAAGGCUAACCGGGUCCUGGCGACUUCUCACACAGUGGCGUCAUACCUGGGUUUGAGCUUUACAUUCUCAGGGAGCCGGAAUCAACCGCUGCCAUGGCGUCGCGCAUCGGGCUGCGCAUGCAGCUCAUGCGGGAGCAGGCGCAGCAGGAGGAGCAGCGAGAGCGCAUGCAGCAGCAGGCCGUCAUGCAUUACAUGCAGCAGCAGCAACAGCAGCAGCAGCAGCAGCUGGGA